AACGAACGCUGGCGGCAGGCUUAACACAUGCAAGUCGAGCGAGACCUUCGGGUCUAGCGGCGGACGGGUGGGUAAAGCGUGGGAACGUGCCCUUCUCUAUGGAUUAGCCCCGGGAAACUGGGAGUAAUACCGUAUACGCUCUUUGGGGGAAAGAUUGAUCGGAGAAGGAUCGGCCUGCGUGGGAUUAGGUAGUUGGUGGGGUAAUGGCGAACCAAGACGACGAUCCAUAGAUGGGUAGAGAGGAUGAUCAGCCACACUGGGACUGAGACACGGCCCAGACUCCUACGGGAUGCAGCAGUGGGGAAUCUUAGACAAUGGGGGCAACCCUGAUCUAGCCAUGCCGCGUGAGUGAUGAAAGCCUUAGGGUUGUAAAGCUCGUUCAGCUGGUAAGAUAAUGACGGUACCAGCAGAAGAAGCCCCGGCUAACUCCGUG
rnacentral:rRNA from 1 species